rnacentral:miRNA from 2 species
UGAAUCUUGAAGAUGCCGCAU